rnacentral:ncRNA from 1 species
AAAGACUUAGUCCUAACCUUACUGUUGAUUUUUGCCAGACAUAUACAUGCAAGUAUCCGCACCCCAGUGUAAAUGCCCUUAAUUUCUUACAAAGAAAAAAGGAGCAGAUAUCAGGCUCACCUGCUAUAAUGCCGUAGCCCAAGACGUCUUGCUCAGCCACACCCCCACGGGUACUCAGCAGUAAUUAACAUUAAGCAAUAAGUGUAAACUUGACUUAGCCAUGGCAGUAUCUAGGGCUGGUAAAUCUUGUGCCAGCCACCGCGGUCACACAAGAAGCCCAAAUUAACAGUAUACGGCGUAAAGAGUGGGACUACGCUAUCACUACAACUAAGACCAAAACAUAACUAAGCCGUCAUAAGCUCAUGAUGUGUCUAAAACCAGCUUUGACAAGAUCUUAGUACUUUUGAUUAACUUGAGCCCACGAAAGCCAAGACACAAACUGGGAUUAGAUACCCCACUAUGCUUGGCCCUAAAUCUUGAUGCUUCCCCUACUAAAGCAUCCGCCAGAGAACUACGAGCACAAACGCUUAAAACUCUAAGGACUUGGCGGUGCCCCAAACCCACCUAGAGGAGCCUGUUCUGUAAUCGAUAACCCACGUUACACCCGACCACUUCUUGCCCAAGGCAGCCUACAUACCGCCGUCGCCAGCCCACCUCUGUUGAGAGUACAAUAGUGGGCACAAUAGCCCAAACUCGCUAACAAGACAGGUCGAGGUAUAGCCCAUGAAGUGGAAGAAAUGGGCUACAUUUUCUAAAAUAGAAAAUACUACGGAAAGGACUAUGAAAUCACUCCUAGAAGGCGGAUUUAGCAGUAAAGCGGGACAAGAAAGCCCCCUUUAAGCCGGCUCUGAGGCACGUACAUACCGCCCGUCACCCUCCUCACAAGCAACAAAUUAUUAUAAAUAAUACCACCUAUUAAGCCAAAGAGGAGGUAAGUCGUAACAAGGUAAGUGUACCGGAAGGUGUACUUAGCAUAC